UCUCGCUUCAAAGUCUGGAGUUACAAGACGUUGCCACAGCCGUACCCUUCAGACAAAGCAGCAGCAAUUUACAACACCUGGCCGUGUGCAGGAUCAUAUCAUCAUCGGUGUAUCUCAUAUACCAGUGGAGUAAUGGAAAACCCUCAAACCUCAGCCGUCAGUGCUCGAGUCAAGCAAGUGGAAUCAUUUCAGAUGGGAGGAGAUCCUUAUCGUCACUGAAGGUCCAAGCUCAACAUGUGAAGUGUUUAUGUGGGGUUCUCAGCAAAACUUCUUCCAGCAGACACAGUCCAUCCCAUUUACCGGCCUCUUUUCAGUCCACCCCUUUACCCCUCCUUCCGGAAUAUUUCAGGAGAGCUGUUUUUCCAGCCUGGUGUCCGUGAGCUAGAAAUAGCAGUGAAUGUAAUUAAUGAUGAUGUUCCGGAGGAGGAAGAACAUUUUCGUGUCAGCCUCAGGAACCCCAAAGGAGGGGCAGAAAUAGGCUUCCGUGGUCAAGUGACAUUGUUCAUUCCAGCUAAUGAUGAUGCUUAUGGGAUUAUAGGCUUUACACAGAACUCUUUGAUGCAGGAGGUGGAUGAUCUGGAGGAUGAUAACCCUGUCUCUCUGAGUAUUUAGAGGACAAGAGGCAGGUACAGUAUGGGCAGACUAACUGUACACUGGAGCGCCCUAUGGUAGCCUGGAUGACAUUUUU